UGGGGAAUAUUGCACAAUGGGCNCAAGCCUGAUGCAGCAACGCCGCGUGAGGGAUGACGGCCUUCGGGUUGUAAACCUCUUUUAGUAGGGAAAGAAGCGAAAGUGACGGUACCUGCAAAAAAGCACCGGCUAACUACGUGCCAGCAGCCGCGGUAAUACGUAGGGUGCGAGCGUUGUCCGGAAUUAUUGGGCGUAAAGAGCUCGUAGGCGGUCCGUCGCGUCUGCUGUGAAAACCCGAGGCUCAACCUCGGGCCUGCAGUGGGUACGGGCAGACUAGAGUGCGGUAGGGGAGAAUGGAAUCCUGGUGUAGCGGUGGAAUGCGCAGAUAUCAGGAGGAACACCGAUGGCGAAGGCAGUUCUCUGGGCCCGUAACUGACGCUGAGGAGCGAAAGCGUGGGGAGCGAACAGGAUUAGAUACCCUGGUAGUCCACGCCGUAAACGUUGGGCGCUAGAUGUGGGGACCAUUCCACGGUUUCCGUGUCGCAGCUAACGCAUUAAGCGCCCGCCUGGGGAGUACGGCCGCAAGGCUAAAACUU
rnacentral:rRNA from 1 species